UUUCUCCAUGCAGACCCUAAAGGUCUCCAGUGGUUACAGAGUAACCAGGACUUCACCAUUUGACAUAAAUCAAGCCACUGACAAGUUCUUGGCAAACUCUUUUUCUCUGUUUACCCCUAAAGGUAGGGAGAAAAAAUGUGACAAAACGAACAGAGUGGGAAGGGGGACUUUAAGCAACUCGCUCUAACGAACCAUUAAUCCUCAGAGAGAGCUGGGAUCUGGGUGGGGUUUGGAGACUCAGCCUUAGCUCAAUCCAGGGAGUACAAUAUUGAAGGAGGUGGGUGCUAAGCGGCAAGCUGUCUUCAGGAGAUGAGGCAAACGUUUUGGGUGAAGGUGUUGGUCAGAGGCUGGCUCCUGCUUUGAUAAGACACUCUGGACUUUCUGGAAAGGUUGGAAAAUGCUGAAUCCAUGAAUAUGACCACUCCUCAUUCUUGUGAGAGAGUGCUGGCUUAACAAGAUCUCUGGGAAACGCUGCUCAGCUCCAGGGUGGGAUUCCUGCCUGAAGUGCCUGAGAGCCAAGUGGUGUGGCAGUCAGGGCCACUGGUGGGGAGACUUGAAUCCAUGCCCCUGCUAUGGCUGCUGAAGACCAAGGUCUCGACCCCAGAGCCUGUUCCAUAAUAGCCAUCUGCCGUGCACUGAUGUCGUCAAAGCUGGACCCAGAAACCUGCAGCAGAAGCUUUGACAUUACAGCUAAUAAUGAGGACUCCAGUGCUCAUUAAAAAUAUAUUGAAGCAGAACAUUUUUAAAACAGACCUUCAGCUACUGGGAUCUAAGGAGCCAAGCACAGAUAGCAUCACCAGGGAGCUGCGUGGCAGAAUGGCACUUGGCACCAGUGUCCUGGAAUGAAUGCUGCUGCGGACAAACUGCAUUGCUUUGCACAGCACUUGCUUCCAACGACUGGAUAGAUUUCAGGCUAGAAGCCAGGGCUGUCUCAUGGCUGUUCAGGGACCUUUCUAAACCAGCCUGCCUGUGCUAGAGGGUUGCUAGUCUAGUGCUGAGCCUUUGACUCUGUGUCAGAGCCUAGAUCCAAACUCUUAUCUUGGGUGAUAAGUCCAUAGGAUUUCUGGGUAGCUUUGUUAUUCCUUACUGAAUAUCUGCCAUGGGGUGGAGUGUUUCUCCCCAUCUUCCUUCUCCUCCCCUUGAGAGGGAGGUGAUGUGAGGUUCCAUCAAUUAACUUCCUAAAAGCAUUUUUAAGAUGUUCAAACAGUAUCUGCAUAAUGUAGCAGAUGAGCAGCCAGGAGUCCUGGCUUCUGUUUCUAACUCUUGCACUGACCUGAAGUUUGAUCUUGGGCCAAAUCACUUCUUAUUUCUGAACAUUGGUUUCCUCAUCUAUGAAAUGAGAAUAGUUCUUCUAUAGCACUAUUUCUCCAUGUCCUUACUACCAUACCAGGGCACUUUUGGUCAGUUUUCAGAGGUGCCUGGUGGCUGAGGAGGCUUCACUGUUUGCAAGCUUAAGUCAUGAUCACCUGUUAGAGAUCAGGAGCUCAUCACUGUCUGAACAUCUGGCCCAUUUAAGUGGUCUUCAGUUGAGCACCCAUAGGAGGAGUCACCCAGAAUCCUUUUACUUCUGAAGAUUUUGGGUGUUAAAUGCCUGCUUAUCUUAGUCUGUCUUCUGGAAGCUAAACACUCCUUUCCCACAAAUGCCAUGAAGACUAAUGCUAUACAAAUGCAAGGAAGGGGAUGGGAUGCAAGCAGGGCAGCAGCUCCACAAUACCUGGCCUGUGGUUGAAGGCCUUUAAACCUGUGCAGUGUCUCACCUCGAUUCAACUUCUAUGAAUAGAGUCUGUCUCCAGAUUUUAAGAUAGGCCUAGACCUCAAGAACCUGUUUGGUUCUUCAAGCUGGGAACUGGGGGAGUAGGAAGGAGGGGAAGUGAGUUGGAUUUAUAAACUUGGCCUUAAUGAUACAGCCUCAAAGCCCUAAUUUACAAGUCAUUUGCCUAUAUAUAAUGCCGUUUUAAAAGACUCCAGGGCAACAUUUCACAUAGGUAAAUCAAAACUGUUUCCUUAGCAUUUAUUAGCAUGAUCUAUGGUCUUACAGCUUGCUAUUGGAAACAAUGGCUUGCAGCCCACUGAUGGCGUGGAUAGCUCAGCCCUAAAUAAUCCUUUCACAAACAGGUGCUCCACCACAUUCAAAUUCCUUAGAAAAUAAAUUACUGCUGGGUUUUUUUUUUUUAUUUGUAUUAUCAGGGGCCAGAAAUGUCAAAUCCUAGAACACUCCUUUCCUAAGGAGCUGAAAGCACUUUGAGCCCAAAUGACUCCUAACACUGCCACAUUGGGCCUCCCUGUGCAGCAGGGGAAACUGAGGUACAGUAGGAUGAAAUAACUCCUCUUGAGGUUGCACAGUAUACUGGUUGUAGAGGGCAAGGUGGAAUUAAGGAAUCCUUCCUGGAAGGGAGAUACAGAGAGCAGGGGAGUGAUGGAUACGAGUGUGAGUGGAGUAGUGACUACAGAGUCACACACAGGAAUGGGAUGAGGUCCCUGGCCUCUGCUGAGCUGACUGGAACUGCAGCACACUUACCCAUUAGCUGCAUAUUAAUGUAGCCUGUGGUGAGCAUUGCUAGAGGGGUCCUCCAGCUGCAAUAUGACAAAGUAGGCAGGGCUCCUAAAGGAAAGGGUAGGCAACAUUAUGUAAACUUUGCAUUAAGCCUCAAGUAAUUAUUUAAUCCUUACAUUGUCUGUGUUUAAUCUUUGGAUGGUCUCAUUCAUGGGCUCUUGUCAUCAAGCUAGGAGCUGAUGUAAUGCUUCAUCCCAGUGGUAUUUGAGUUCCCAAGAAGAUGGGAUUAUUGCUGUAUCUGAUUUGGUGUUUCCAGGGAUUUCUUUUCCCUCUUCACUCUCUAGUUUCAGUGAAGAGUUUUCUCUUCUCAAGCCAACAUGAGAUCUCUUCCCAUGAUAACCAUCUGACAUUCUAUGGAAAGACCCUUGGAUCUCAAAUUAGUUCAAUUUUUUAUGGCUCUGAAGCCCAGCCAAGCUGUAUAAUGCCAUUCCUACAGGGUAGCAUCACCUAGGUGUCUAUUCAUUCCUCAUGAUAUGGACUCACAAAUGCACUCUGGGAGUAAAACUAGGGCUCUGAUUUUGUAUCUGAUCAUCAUAGCUUCUGUAGCAGGUGACACAAAUGCCCUAAAUGCUAUAUAGUCUUCAGAUCAUGCUUCUAAUGACUCUUGAAUAACUUUGUCAGCAAAGCAGUGCAAGUAACUGACUUCUAGUUGGCAGGCAAUUUCAUCGUCCCUGUCCCUGUAACUUUCAAAAAUGUUGGUGAAUUGCAAAAGAGAGCUUACUCUGUCUUUUAACUAGGUCAAAUACAAACAGUCUAAAAGCCAACCAAACAAAUAAAAGUUUAAAGGGUUUUGUUUAAAUAAAAUCAAAAGCUUCCAAAUGAGAAGCAAACUCA